rnacentral:sRNA from 1 species
GGUAAAUCGAGGUACAGUUCUGUUUAUGUAUGGCAUUUCAGUAAAGAAGUUUUGAGUACAGACGUUGACGUUGAAUACCGCUUCCUUGCCGAACCUUAAUUAGUGCCUCAUUCAGUAAUGUCUCUGGUUUCUCUGUCAGUACAGCCUACGGGCAAAAAAUACACUCUAAGGAAAUUUGCAAAAUGGCAAAGAUUAAAGGUCAGGUUAAGUGGUUCAACGAGUCUAAAGGCUUCGGUUUCAUUACUCCGGCUGACGGCAGCAAAGAUGUAUUCGUACACUUUUCUGCAAUCCAGGGUAACGGUUUCAAAACCCUGGCAGAAGGUCAGAACGUAGAGUUCGAAAUCCAGGACGGUCAGAAAGGUCCUGCAGCUGUAAACGUUACUGCUAUCUGAUGAGCCGCAGCGCUGGCCGCACGUCGGCCGGCGCCGUAACACUCUGAUGAAUAAAACCCUGUCAACAUGGCAGGGUUUUUUCA